rnacentral:rRNA from 1 species
GACGAACGCUGGCGGCGUGCUUAACACAUGCAAGUCGAACGGAAAGGCCCUGCUUUUGUGGGGUGCUCGAGUGGCGAACGGGUGAGUAACACGUGAGUAACCUGCCCUUGACUUUGGGAUAACUUCAGGAAACUGGGGCUAAUACCGGAUAGGAGCUCCUGCUGCAUGGUGGGGGUUGGAAAGUUUCGGCGGGUGGGGAUGGACUCGCGGCUUAUCGGCUUGUUGGUGGGGUAGUGGCUUACCAAGGCUUGGACGGAUAGCCGGCCUGAGAGGGUGACCGGCCACAUUGGGACUGAGAGACGGCCCAGACGCCUACGGGAGGCAGCAGUGGGGAAUAUUGCACAAUGGGCGGAAGCCUGAUGCAGCAACGCCGCGUGCGGGAUGACGGCCUUCGGGUUGUAAACCGCUUUCGCCUGUGACGAAGCGUGAGUGACGGUAAUGGGUAAAGAAGCACCGGCUAACUACGUG